AAACGACAAGGGGAGCCUAAGCUCCCCAAGAAGUCGUUGCGUGCUCUUAUUGUUUUUUUUGCUGGGCUUCUUGUUUUUGUUGAGUGCCCUGUCCACAAAUCUCGAAGCUUGUGGACGACCCCCAAUCCAGGGGUUAAGAGCAAACGGAUUGCUUUGGCCGCUGAUGUCACGUUGAUCUGUCGAUCCAACCAGUUCAGGCGCUGCUUUUUAGUGCAGUU
rnacentral:misc_RNA from 1 species